rnacentral:rRNA from 1 species
GACGAACGCUGGCGGCGCGCCUAACACAUGCAAGUCGAACGGAGUCAAGAGGAGCUUGCUUUUCUUGACUUAGUGGCGAACGGGUGAGUAACGCGUGAGUAACCUGCCCUUGAGUGGGGGACAACAGUUGGAAACGACUGCUAAUACCGCAUAAGCCCACGGAUCCGCAUGGACCUGCGGGAAAAGGAUUUAUUCGCUUCAGGAUGGACUCGCGUCCAAUUAGCUAGUUGGUGAGGUAACGGCCCACCAAGGCGACGAUUGGUAGCCGGACUGAGAGGUUGAAUGGCCACAUUGGGACUGAGACACGGCCCAGAAUCCUACGGGAGGCAGCAGUGGGGGAUAUUGCAAAAUGGGGGAAACCCUGAUGCAGCGACGCCGCGUGGAGGAAGAAGGUUUUCGGAUUGUAAACUCCUGUCGUUAGGGACGAUAAUGACGGUACCUAACAAGAAAGCACCGGCUAACUACGUG